UUGCCCUACGGGGGGCAGCAGUGAGGAAUAUUGGUCAAUGGUCGGGAGACUGAACCAGCCAAGCCGCGUGAGGGAUGAAGGUACAGAGUAUCGUAAACCUCUUUUGUCAGGGAACAAAGGCGGGGACGCGUCCCCGGCUGAGUGUACCUGUAGAAAAAGCAUCGGCUAACUCCGUGCCAGCAGCCGCGGUAAUACGGAGGAUGCGAGCGUUAUUCGGCUUUAUUGGGUUUAAAGGGUGCGCAGGCGGUCUGUUAAGUCAGCGGUCAA
rnacentral:rRNA from 1 species